ACCCAGCUGACCAGUCCCAAAUAGGACGAAACGCGCAUCCUGGAU
rnacentral:hammerhead_ribozyme from 1 species